GACGAACGCUGGCGGCGUGCCUAAUACAUGCAAGUAGAACGCUGAAGGAGGAGCUUGCUUCUCCGGAUGAGUUGCGAACGGGUGAGUAACGCGUAGGUAACCUGCCUGGUAGCGGGGGAUAACUAUUGGAAACGAUAGCUACUACCGCAUAACAGUAGAUGUUGCAUGACAUUUGCUUAAAAGGUGCACUUGCAUCACUACCAUAUGGACCUGCGUUGUAUUAGCUAGUUGGUGAGGUAACGGCUCACCAAGGCGACGAGACAUAGCCGAGCUGAGAGGGUGAGCGGCCACACAGGGACUGAGACACGGCCCAGACACCUACGGGAGGGAGCAGUAGGGAAUCUUCGGCAAUGGGCGGAAGACUGACCGAGCAACGCCGCGUGAGGGAAGAAGGUUUUCGGAUCGUAAAGCUCUGUUGUAAGAGAAGAAAGAGGGUGAGAGUGGAAAGUUCACACUGUGACGGUAUCUUACCAGAUAGGGACGGCUAACUACGUG
rnacentral:rRNA from 1 species